rnacentral:rRNA from 1 species
GGAGGGAGCUAGCGUUGUUCGGAAUCACUGGGCGUAAAGGGCGCGUAGGCGGCCGAGUAAGUCGUGUGUGAAAGACCGGGGGCUCAACUCCGUGUACUGCGUGCGAUACUGCCCGGCUAGAGAAAGGUAGAGGCGAGUGGAAUUCCCGGUGUAGCGGUGGAAUGCGUAGAUAUCGGGAAGAACACCUGUGGCGAAGGCGGCUCGCUGGGCCUUUUCUGACGCUGAAGUGCGAAAGCGUGGGGAGCAAACAGGAUUAGAUACCCUGGUAGUCCACGCCGUAAACGAUGGGCACUAGGCGUUGGGAGGAUUGACCCUCUCAGUGCCGUAGCUAACGCGUUAAGUGCCCCGCCUGGGGAGUACGGCCGCAAAGGCUG